UUAACUGAAACCAAAAAGAGGUCUAUUAAUGUUAAUAAUACAAUUGAAUAAUAUAUUCCAGUUAAG
rnacentral:tRNA from 1 species